CCCUUUGUCUUUUCAAUGGUAAAUGUCACGACCUGGAACUCCCAUCGGGCCCAUGACAACCACCGCGACGUCUCGAUAGGCACUCAUUACUUGGAAUGCUUAUCGAAACCCCGCAGGCUUAGCAUCAGCUUCCGCAUCUCCCCGAUGAUCGACAGUUAUUAAAUCUCGCAUUUCAAGAAAUCAUAAGUCGUUUCCAAAUCAAAACAAUAAAAUAUUAUUUUCUGGCUUACAGGGGCAUUUUCAUCAUUUUUCUUCGAAAAUACGAAAAUCCACCAAAAACAUGGUGUAAAAGCUAAAUAUGUUCAUACAUAUUUUAAAUCAGAUAACUGAAGUAUAAAAUUACUUUUACAGUGACACGUGGGCCCCCAAUUGACCAAGAAGGUGUAGGGCUACGAACCAUUACUUUCUAGGAUGCAACUCCGAGAUUAAUUCUCAUCUUAAUCAACUAUCAACAAACUGUCCUGAGCCUGAAAAAUAGAUAGGAAGAGGGGUGAGAUUACAUAAUCCCAGUGAGUAAACAGACACCAUUUAAAUUAUCUAAAGGCGAGUAAAUGGAGACGAAUUAAAAUAUUCUUUUCCAAUAUAUGUUUCAUAACAUGAAUAUUCAGUUUACUCAAUUAAUCAACAUGGCUUAUAUACCUCACAAAACUUGGCUCCUGCCAAAAUCAUUCUCGCGAGUACCUUCGUCAAGGUAUCCCACUGAGACCACCAAGGCUGUUAAAUGUCUUUACAUCCGAAAUUUUAGCCAUACCUUAGCGUUGGCUGAGUCUCACUCUCACGCGAUGGUCCACGUGAAGUGCACUCAAAUCUUUACCUCCAAAGACAACCUUCACACGGCUCUCCGAUCGAGGUAAGGUAUAUCUGAUUCUGUGCCCCCUCUCUUAGGUUGAUCCACAGAACCUCCACUGCAGGGAUUAUGGAUUAUUUUAUCUACCACCUGAUUUAUAAAAUCUUUUU
rnacentral:lncRNA from 1 species